AGGAGGAGAGAAACCCGUAGCUUCAUCACCUGCUGCAGCAUUUGAACCAACCCAGGAAUAAGCGUUGUGUUGAUAGUAUCUAAGAAAUUCGAGGGAUAAAAUCUCCUCUCGAGGGCUAGUGAACCAUCCUGGUUAAGUGUGAAGUUGUCCCUGUUUCAAGUGGCAGUGUAGUUUUCCAGAUCUCUGCACUUUUAUCCUUCCCUCAAUCCCUUCUGAUAACCACACACUUAGAUUUA